UUUCAUGCGCAGAGAAUCGGCUUCAUUCUAUUGGAAUGAAAUUUCCUACUUUCUUUUUCUCCAUGAUUCCUCAUUGUUGGCUGAUUCUCUAACCAUGGGCAUAAUCUAUUUAACUGUUUGACCUUUGUGCUUUUUUUCUGGUAAUGGGUGCAGUGAAUGUCAAUACUUUUUUCUUGAACAAAGUUUCAAUGUAAUAUUUACUGUUAACAAAUUUCAACUUUGCAGAUUUUUAAUCUUUAAAUGAGCAAUGAUGUGCACGUGCUUAACUUUAUUUUUCUUUUUUGUUCUUAAAUUGGUGAUGGUUUGAAGGUUUAAUGGUUAGAAAUGUGAAACAUUAAAUAAUUUACUGUAAUAUGAUAGAUCAUAAUAUAUAUAAAGUAAAACCCAUUUUUAAUCUUGGGUCUUUAAUGGGAUGCGUCUGUAGCUACUGAACGAAAAUAUGCAUUGGUUAUUAACAGUAAAGAUUAAACGAUUUACUAUUCUUUUAGACCCCAGCAGAUCUUUUGAAUGGUGCUGGUCCUGAAUUGGACCCUGAACUGCUAAGAAGAAGCAUGAUGGAGCAUGCUCUGUAUUUUGGAGACCGGAGGGGCAGAAGAGGUCGUAAGAGGAAGGCCGAGAAGAUGGCAGAGAUUGCAAUGGCUGAAGCUCUGUCCAAGAGAAACACAGCCAGAGCUGUUGCCACUGUUGAACCAGAAUCUCGUGUUCCUGUGAUUAACUUGGAGGAUGGUAGUCGGUUGUCGGGAGAUGAGGCUCCACUGAAGCGUGACCUGGAUAAAUGGUUGGAUGAACAUCCAGGUUACAUGGUGGACAGACCUCCAGAAAUGUACCCUCUAGAGGAUGAGGAGCUAUCAGAGUCUGGUGAUAGAAGGAGAGGAAGAAGACCAAAAGUGGACCCAGCCAUGUUAGAUCCCAUGAAGCUGACAGGAGAAGAAAAUGUUUCAGUUGUCAAUAGGGUCACUGGCAAAAGGAUAACUGGUGCUAAAGCUCCUCCUAUUAGAUACUUGAGUGAGUGGUUAGAACAGAAUCCUCAGUAUGAUAUAGAUCCAAAAUGGACAGAUAUUGUCAAAUCCAAGGCCAAUUUACCAAAGAGUUUGUCAUCGCGUGUGAGUACCCCAUCCUCGGAACGCCGGCGUGGACGACCAAGGGAACGGGACCUGUCCUCUUCUUUGCUCUCAGACAAUCCAUACAGUGCUGCUUCUCUGGCAGCCAGUAUGUCUGCAUUCCCAGGCUUAGGCCUAAUGUCAGGCUUUGGCAAAAUGCCAAUGGGAAUGCCCUUUGGAACAUUGCCCAGUUUAGGGCUGGCUAAUCCCAUGCUGGCAGGUUUUGCUGGCUUGAUGCCAGGACUUUCACCUUCCUUGGCAAAGGCCAUGGAAAGUGAAGCUAGAAAGGACAAAUCCCCAGGCAGCAGCAAAGAGUCGAGCAAAUCAAAGUCCCCAAGUAGCUCACAGACUCCUCACCCUUCAUUCCCUAUGUUGUACAAUCCACUUCUCUUUAAUCCCCUUUUAGCAGCACAAGCUGCUGGGGGCUUGAACUUCUCCCUGCCUACUUCACUGCCUUCAUCUUUUGCCUCCCUGGCUCAACCUGGUCUUGUAAAUGGACAAGGUGAUUCUGAUCUAGAGGAGGGAGAAAUCAAACGAUAUAGCCAGGGUGAGCAUAACGAACAGGAGAUUGCACAGGACCUGUCUGUCAGGCGCAAAGAGGCUCAUUCCCACCACAGAAAGCGAAAAAGUUAUGAAGCUUCACACUCUGCAGUAACCAAGAGUUCAAGGGAUGAGGACCAAUCUGCAUGUUUAGACCUUUCUAUCAAAUCAAAACCAAGAGAGUCGCCAAAAGCUAGUGAGGUGUCAAGUAGAUCACAUUCUGCUUCUGAAUCACCAAAAGACAGUUCGAAAACCAAAAAUAAAAUACAGGGUUCAUUCAAAUUGGAUAAAAUUUUGGACACGCUGAAGGACAAAGUGAACAAAAUGGAAGAUAAACCUGUUAAAAAAGAGAGAGACAAAGACAAAGAGUCCAAGCUGAAUAGCAUUCUUAUGAAAAUCGCCAAAGAAAAGGAUGUGGAUGUGAAUACAUUAAACACCAUGGACACUGCAGAAGCAUCCCAAUUGAAGUGUUCAGAAGCUUCUGAUCUUUCUUCCGAGAGGAAAGAAAGCGAGUCGUCGAAGGAAGAGGUAGAUACGGCAGAGAAAGACGAGGACCAGUCCUGAUGAUGUAUACUGGGAGUUAACAUUGGCGUGCUGUGACUUGGUGUAAUGAGCUUUGAGCCACACCAAGAGUUGUUGGAUCUUGUGUGGAAAAGCCAAAUCAUCUUGUAUUGUGGAAUACUGUGUGUUCCCCCCCCAAGAUUAUGUGACAUGUAUGUUAUUAUACAGGAAUUAAUUUAUUCAUUGUAAGUGAGACUUCAGUCUUCAUGAUAUGCACAAUACACGUGUUCGAACAGAUUCCAGAUCAUGUUUGUCUGCCAAAUCAAUGACCCGUCAUGUGGAUUUCACGAUUUCACAAAAAGAUCUCCCCUCCCCCACGGUCUGACCCCUCGUACAGCAGGUGUGCUUUGCUGGAACUCUGAAGGGUCAGGGCCAAGUCACUGCAGGCACCUCAUCAUUUUCGUUCUCAGGGCAAUAAUGUUAAAACAAGUAUUACGUGUGUAGAAACAGUUUUCUUUAAUUAUUAUUUUUUCUCUGGUUUAUAUUAUUUUUUGCUGCAUUGUAACAAUCAAUUCAUGUCACACAUUUUGUAUAUAAUUUAUUCAUUGUAGGAAGUUCAAAUAUACCAACCAAAACCAUUAAAUGCAUGACCCCCCCUUUUUUGGUAAAAAUGAAAUUUUAAGAUUGUGAUAAGGCCACAAACGAGCAGAACAAUUUUUUUUUCAAGAUGGGCACGGUUGUGAUAGUUAUGUAACUUCAAAGUGGUAGAUUUGAAUUUCUUUUUUCAUGUAAUGCAUAUGAUAUUAGUUACCUAGGCUAUCAUCGCUGUUGUGUAUAUGCAAUUUAAUUUAAGAAUCAUUCUCUCAUAAGAGAAUCAAUGAAGUCAGGUCAGGAAUUUAUUUUUGAUUUUUUUUUUUUGCAUUGAGAUCAAAUAAAGUACCUGCAAUAAUGUUAUGAGCAGUGUUUUGACUGCUUUCUUGAGGCACCAGUUGUACCGUCUUUCCAAUGCUUUGGCUCUGUGUUAAUGACCUUUGAUGAUUGUGACGAAGAUACUGCUCUACUUCUAUGUCUUAUUAUGUGUACCUCAGGUCCUUAGUUAGUGACUUGAGAUUUAUUUCAACAUUUUGUGUCUUCAUUUCACAAAAAUUUGGAUUUAUGAUAUGGACAAGGAAACGUACAUUCCUCAAAAAGGGUUUUUUUUUUUACUAAAGUUUCCAUUUCAUGUCCAUAUCUGUCUAAAAAAUUAAGAUGGCCUCCAUAGUAGGUGUAGUUUUUUCCCCUUGUGAAAUGACAUAUUUGUGUAGUUUAAACUUUUUAUUCAUGAAAAUUCAGGGAUUAAUGUUUCCUUUGUCCAUGACAGUGAUAGAGGGGUCAUUUAUUCCCUUUCAUAUCAAAAGCUUUUACUGCAAGGCAGGCAACAAUUAGGUGCAAGGUGUUGACACCAUUAUUUCCCUUUACACUUGGAUAAUGUAGGGGCAUUUCUUUACAGUGAAGAAAUUGCAGGUGAUUUCUUGCCCGGAAUAAAUUUGUUGGGUGGAUGUUUAGUGAAAUAACGAAUUGUAUGUAUUUAUUUGUUGAGGAAAUUUUGUAUGUAAACUAUUUUUAUUAAAACAUGA
rnacentral:misc_RNA from 1 species